AAUAGAUACCCUGGUAGUCCAUGCCGUAAACGUUGGGCACUAGGUGUGGGGCUCAUUCCACGAGUUCCGUGCCGCAGCAAACGCAUUAAGUGCCCCGCCUGGGGAGUACGGCCGCAAGGCUAAAACUCAAAGGAACUGACGGGGGCCCGCACAAGCGGCGGAGCAUGCGGAUUAAUUCGAUGCAACGCGAAGAACCUUACCAAGGCUUGACAUAUACGAGAACGCUCUAGAAAUAGAGAACUCUUUGGACACUCGUAUACAGGUGGUGCAUGGUUGUCGUCAGCUCGUGUCGUGAGAUGUUGGGUUAAGUCCCGCAACGAGCGCAACCCUCGUUCUAUGUUGCCAGCGGUUCGGCCGGGAACUCAUAGGAGACCGCCGGGGUCAACUCGGAGGAAGGUGGGGAUGACGUCAAAUCAUCAUGCCCCUUAUGUCUUGGGCUUCACGCAUGCUACAAUGGCCGGUACAAAGGGCUGCAAUACCGCAAGGUGGAGCGAAUCCCAAAAAGCCGGUCUCAGUUCGGAUUGAGGU
rnacentral:rRNA from 1 species